GGGUCAGUAGGUUGGUCGUGCCACCGGUACGUACUGGUCUCACUGAUUCCUCCUUCCUGAAGAACCGUAAUGCCAUUAAUUUGGUGUCGCGGGGAGACAGGACUGUUACUUUGAAAAAAUUAGAGUGUUUAAAGCAAGCUAACGCUUGAAUACAUUAGCAUGGAAUAAUGAAAUAGGACGAUCGAUCCUAUUUUGUUGGUUUCUAGGAUUGACGUA
rnacentral:rRNA from 1 species